UACAGAGGUCUCAAGCGUUGUUCGGAUUCAUUGGGCGUAAAGGGUGCGUAGGUGGCGCGCUAAGUCAGGUGUGAAAUUUCGGAGCUUAACUCCGAAACUGCAUUUGAUACUGGCGUGCUUGAGGACUGGAGAGGAGACUGGAAUUUACGGUGUAGCAGUGAAAUGCGUAGAGAUCGUAAGGAAGACAAGUGGCGAAGGCGGGUCUCUGGGCAACAACUGACGCUGAGGAGCGAAAGCGUGGGGAGCGAACAGG
rnacentral:rRNA from 1 species